UUUGAGGAUCGUUAAUGGCAUGUUGUGUCUAUGGAGGGCUAUAGUAUAAUUACAAUUCCAAUGUCACAGAAGCUGAAAUGGAGUUCACUGUACAGAAGCUGCCAACGCAAUUUUUGGUCCAAAAUACUCUCUACUAGCAAUGACAAACAUUUGGGUCAGUAAUGAGCUUGAGGCAGGACAUCCAUUUUGUGAUAUUAAUGGUAACAGAUCAUAGAGAACACAUAUCUUGAAGAGCUAAGGGAAAAUAGAGAGAAAUAGAUGUUGCCAUUAAAUGAAUGAAAAAUAGUUAUUUUACGUGUUGCUCAUUGGAGCAAUGAGCAAGGAAGAUUGUUGAGAUUUCUUUCCUUCGAUGGCUCUAUCAAGUGAAAAUUAGGAUAUGAACGAGUCAAUUAUGAAAGUUUCAAUUGCAAUGUGAAA